rnacentral:rRNA from 1 species
UGGGGAAUUUUGGACAAUGGGCGCAAGCCUGAUCCAGCAAUGCCGCGUGCAGGAUGAAGGCCUUCGGGUUGUAAACUGCUUUUGUACGGAACGAAAAAGCUCUCUCUAAUACAGGGGGUGAAUGACGGUACCGUAAGAAUAAGCACCGGCUAACUACGUGCCAGCAGCCGCGGUAAUACGUAGGGUGCAAGCGUUAAUUGGAAUUACUGGGCGUAAAGCGUGCGCAGGCGGUUUUGUAAGGCAGAGGUGAAAUCCCCGGGCUCAACCUGGGAACUGCCUUUGUGACUGCAAAGCUGGAGUGCGGCAGAGGGGGAUGGAAUUCCGCGUGUAGCAGUGAAAUGCGUAGAUAUGCGGAGGAACACCGAUGGCGAAGGCAAUCCCCUGGGCCUGCACUGACGCUCAUGCACGAAAGCGUGGGGAGCAAACA